rnacentral:misc_RNA from 1 species
GAAAUGCGAUAAGUAAUGUGAAUUGCAGAAUUCAGUGAAUCAUCGAAUCUUUGAACGCACAUUGCGCCCGCCAGUAUUCUGGCGGGCAUGCCUGUUCGAGCGUCAUUUCAACCAUCAAGCCCCCGGGCUUGUGUUGGGGACCUGCGGCUGCCGCAGGCCCUGAAAACCAGUGGCGGGCUCGCUGUCACACCGGGCGUAGUAGAUUUUUCGUCUCGCCCAGGGCGUGCUGCGGGUUCCGGCCGUUAAAAAGCCUCUCUUUUUAACCCAAGGUUGACCUCGGAUCAGGUAGGAAGACCCGCUGAACUUAAGC